AGAUGCUCGGAUGAGCUGUGGUUAGGGGUAAUAUGCCAAUCGAACCCGGAGAUAGCUGGUUCUCCCUGAAAUAUAUUUAGGUAUAGGGUUGCGUUAAGCAGAGUUGGGGGUAGAGCACUGAUCGGGCGUCUUAUGGGAAACCGUGAGCGUCUAGUCAAACUCCGAAUACCAAUUUUGUGUUUCGCAGCACUCAGCACCUGGGAGCUAAGUUCCAGGAGCUAAAGGAAAACAAACCAGACCUACAGCUAAGGUCUCCAAUAAACAUUUAGUGGGAAAGGAAGUUUAGAUCCUAAGACAACUAGGAGGUCGGCUCAGAAGCAGCCAUCCUUUAAAGAAAGCGUAACAGCUCACUAGCCGUAGGAUUUAUGCGCCGAAAAUUUAACGAGGCUCAAAUGUUUAACCGAAGCUUAGGAUUCACUCUAGUUUACUAGAGUGAGUGGUAAGGGAGCGUUCUGUGUGCUUUGAAGGUAGCCCGUAAGGAGCUGCUGGAGCGAUCAGAAGUGAGAAUGCUGGCAUAAGUAGCGUCAUUGAAGUGAGAAUCUUCAACUCCGAAUGUCCAAGGUUUCCGCACCCACGUUCGUCGUGUGCGGGUUAGGCGACCCUAAGACAAGCCCCGUCUAAGACGGAGGGUAGUCGAUGGAUUACUGGUUAAUAUUCCAGUCCUUGGUACAGAUCAUUAUUACUUGGGGAAGGACGAUGAUGGAUAGCGCUGGUGCAAAAGUGAAUUUUGCAUCCAAUCAACAAGACAGUCUAGUCAGGCAAAUCCGAUUAGGCGUUUAUUCAAGUUGUGAUAGGUCAAUACUCUGCGUGAGUGUUGAUCAGCGUGAUUUCAUUAUCCUGGAAAAGCUUCGCAAGGAGAGCUGUAUCAAAUCGUACCGAUAACCGACACAGGUGGACAGGUCGAGUAGACCAAGGAGAGCGAGAGAAAGUAGUUUAAGGAAUUCGGCAAAAUAGCUGGGCGUAACUUUGGGAAAUGCCCUCCCCGUCGCAAGAUGGGGCGCAGCGAAUGAAAUGAGGCCGACUGUUUACCAAAAACACAGGUCUGUGCAAACCCGCAAGGGGAAGUAUACGGGCUGAAACCUGCCCGGUGCUGGAAGGUUAAUUGCGAGGGUGAUUAGUUUACUAAUUGCUUUCAAUAGAAGCCCCAGUGAACGGCAGCAGUAACUAUAACUGUUCUAAGGUAGCGAAGUACCUUGUCACUUAAUUGGUGACGCGCAUGAAAGGCUCAACGAGCCUCAUACUGUCUUGAACUACUACUCGGCGAAAUUGAGAUGGCCGUGAAGACGCGGCCUACUAACACCAGGACAAAAAGACCCCGUGAAGCUUUACUACAACUUGGCACUGGUCUUAUAUAUGGAAUUGUUUAGGAUAGGUGGGAGUUCCUUCAUUUAGUGAUGGAACAUCAGUGAAAUACCACUCGUUUUAUAUAUAGGACCUUACUUAAGACUAAUGCAAACUUAGUCAAGGACACUGUCUGGCAGGUAGUUUAACUGGGGAGGUUGCUUGCUAAAGAGUAACGCAAGCGCGCAAUGGUACCCUUAGUCUGGAUGGAAAUCAGACUGUACGUGCAAUAGCAUAUGGGUGCUUAACUGUGAGGCAUACGGGCCGAGCAGAUGCGAAAGCAGGUUAUAGUGAUCCUCGUGCACUUUAUGGAAGGUGCCGGGCUUAUCGGAUAAAAGCUACUCCGGGGAUAACAGAGUCAUCGCGCCUAAGCGUCCCUAGCGUCGGCGCGGUUUGCUACCUCGAUGUCGGCUCAUCGCAUCCUGGGGGUGAAGAAGCUCCCAAGGGUUUGUCUGUUCGCCAAUUAAAGCGGUACGCGAGCUGGGUUCAGACCGUCGUGAGACAGGUCGGCCUCUAUCCGGUGUUAGCGUUAGAAAGUUGAGGGAAUUUAUCUCUAGUACGAGAGGACCGAGAUGAGGGGAUCCCUAGUGUUCCUGUUGUUGCUGUCAAGCGCACCGCAGGGUAGCUACAUCCUUUAAGGAUAAUCGCUGAAAGCAUCUAAGCGAGAAGCCCCACCCAAGAUUAACUUUCUCCAUUAGACCCGUGGGAGACUACCACGUUGAUAGGUUGCCGGUGUAAGUAUGGUGACAUAUUAAGCCUAGCAAUACUAAGUGUCGAUUGAAUAAAUUAC
rnacentral:rRNA from 1 species